rnacentral:rRNA from 1 species
GUAAUGUCUGGGAAACUGCCUGAUGGAGGGGGAUAACUACUGGAAACGGUGGCUAAUACCGCAUAACGUCGCAAGACCAAAGAGGGGGACCUUCGGGCCUCUUGCCAUCAGAUGUGCCCAGAUGGGAUUAGCUUGUUGGUGAGGUAACGGCUCACCAAGGCGACGAUCCCUAGCUGGUCUGAGAGGAUGACCAGCCACACUGGAACUGAGACACGGUCCAGACUCCUACGGGAGGCAGCAGUGGGGAAUAUUGCACAAUGGGCGCAAGCCUGAUGCAGCCAUGCCGCGUGUAUGAAGAAGGCCUUCGGGUUGUAAAGUACUUUCAGCGGGGAGGAAGGUGUUGUGGUUAAUAACCACAGCAAUUGACGUUACCCGCAGAAGAAGCACCGGCUAACUCCGUGCCAGCAGCCGCGGUAAUACGGAGGGUGCAAGCGUUAAUCGGAAUUACUGGGCGUAAAGCGCACGCAGGCGGUCUGUCAAGUCGGAUGUGAAAUCCCCGGGCUCAACCUGGGAACUGCAUUCGAAACUGGCAGGCUUGAGUCUUGUAGAGGGGGGUAGAAUUCCAGGUGUAGCGGUGAAAUGCGUAGAGAUCUGGAGGAAUACCGGUGGCGAAGGCGGCCCCCUGGACAAAGACUGACGCUCAGGUGCGAAAGCGUGGGGAGCAAACAGGAUUAGAUACCCUGGUAGUCCACGCCGUAAACGAUGUCUACUUGGAGGUUGUGCCCUUGAGGCGUGGCUUCCGGAGCUAACGCGUUAAGUAGACCGCCUGGGGAGUACGGCCGCAAGGUUAAAACUCAAAUGAAUUGACGGGGGCCCGCACAAGCGGUGGAGCAUGUGGUUUAAUUCGAUGCAACGCGAAGAACCUUACCUGGUCUUGACAUCCACAGAACUUUCCAGAGAUGGAUUGGUGCCUUCGGGAACUGUGAGACAGGUGCUGCAUGGCUGUCGUCAGCUCGUGUUGUGAAAUGUUGGGUUAAGUCCCGCAACGAGCGCAACCCUUAUCCUUUGUUGCCAGCGGUUAGGCCGGGAACUCAAAGGAGACUGCCAGUGAUAAACUGGAGGAAGGUGGGGAUGACGUCAAGUCAUCAUGGCCCUUACGACCAGGGCUACACACGUGCUACAAUGGCGCAUACAAAGAGAAGCGACCUCGCGAGAGCAAGCGGACCUCAUAAAGUGCGUCGUAGUCCGGAUUGGAGUCUGCAACUCGACUCCAUGAAGUCGGAAUCGCUAGUAAUCGUGGAUCAGAAUGCCACGGUGAAUACGUUCCCGGGCCUUGUACACACCGCCCGUCACACCAUGGGAGUGGGUUGCAAAAGAAGUAGGUAGCUUAACCUUCGGGAGGGCGCUUACCACUUUGUGAUUCAUGACUGGGGUGAAGUCGUAACAAGGUAACCGUAGGGGAACCUGCGGUUGGAUCACCUCCUUA